GAUGAAGAACGUAGCAAAAUGCGAUAAGUAAUGUGAAUUGCAGAAUUCAGUGAAUCAUCGAAUCUUUGAACGCACAUUGCGCCCGCUGGUAUUCCGGCGGGCAUGCCUGUUCGAGCGUCAUUUCAACCCUCAAGCCCCCGGGUUUGGUGUUGGGGAUCGGCUCUGCCCUUCUGGGCGGUGCCGCCCCCGAAAUACAUUGGCGGUCUCACUGCAGCCUCCAUUGCGUAGUAGCUAACACCUCGCAACUGGAACGCGGCGCGGCCAUGCCGUAAAACCCCAACUUCUGAAUGUUGACCUCGGAUCAGGUAGGAAUACCCGCUGAACUUAAGCAUAUCAAUAAGCGGAGGA
rnacentral:misc_RNA from 1 species